rnacentral:rRNA from 1 species
GAUGAACGCUGGCGGCGUGCCUAAUACAUGCAAGUCGAGCGAACAGACGAGGAGCUUGCUCCUCUGACGUUAGCGGCGGACGGGUGAGUAACACGUGGAUAACCUACCUAUAAGACUGGGAUAACUUCGGGAAACCGGAUCUAAUACCGGAUAAUAUAUUGAAUCGCAUGGUUCAAUAGUGAAAGACGGUUUUGCUGUCACUUAUAGAUGGAUCCGCGCCGCAUUAGCUAGUUGGUAAGGUAACGGCUUACCAAGGCGACGAUGCGUAGCCGACCUGAGAGGGUGAUCGGCCACACUGGAACUGAGACACGGUCCAGACUCCUACGGGAGGCAGCAGUAGGGAAUCUUCCGCAAUGGGCGAAAGCCUGACGGAGCAACGCCGCGUGAGUGAUGAAGGUCUUCGGAUCGUAAAACUCUGUUAUUAGGGAAGAACAAAUGUGUAAGUAACUAUGCACGUCUUGACGGUACCUAAUCAGAAAGCCACGGCUAACUACGUG